UGGGGAAUUUUGGACAAUGGGCGAAAGCCUGAUCCAGCAAUGCCGCGUGUGUGAAGAAGGCCUUCGGGUUGUAAAGCACUUUUGUCCGGAAAGAAAUCCUUGGCUCUAAUACAGUCGGGGGAUGACGGUACCGGAAGAAUAAGCACCGGCUAACUACGUGCCAGCAGCCGCGGUAAUACGUAGGGUGCAAGCGUUAAUCGGAAUUACUGGGCGUAAAGCGUGCGCAGGCGGUUUGCUAAGACCGAUGUGAAAUCCCCGGGCUCAACCUGGGAACUGCAUUGGUGACUGGCAGGCUAGAGUAUGGCAGAGGGGGGUAGAAUUCCACGUGUAGCAGUGAAAUGCGUAGAGAUGUGGAGGAAUACCGAUGGCGAAGGCAGCCCCCUGGGCCAAUACUGACGCUCAUGCACGAAAGCGUGGGGAGCAAAACAGGAUUAGAUACCCUGGUAGUCCACGCCCUAAACGAUGUCAACUAGUUGUUGGGAUUCAUUUCCUUAGUAACGUAGCUAACGCGUGAAGUUGACCGCCUGGGGAGUACGGUCGCAAGAUUAAAACUCAAAUGAAUUGACGGGGUCAUAGCUGUUUCCU
rnacentral:rRNA from 1 species